rnacentral:tRNA from 1 species
GGACACAUAGCCUAGCCUGGAUAGGGCACAGGCCUCCUAAGCCUGGGAUCAGGGGUUCGAAUCCCCUUGUGUCCG